rnacentral:rRNA from 3 species
UUGACCUCGGAUCAGGUAGGGAUACCCGCUGAACUUAAGCAUAUCAAUAAGCGGAGGAAAAGAAACCAACAGGGAUUGCCUCAGUAACGGCGAGUGAAGCGGCAACAGCUCAAAUA